rnacentral:rRNA from 1 species
UACGGAGGGGGCUAGCGUUGUUCGGAAUUACUGGGCGUAAAGCGCACGUAGGCGGCGAUUUAAGUCAGAGGUGAAAGCCCGGGGCUCAACCCCGGAACUGCCUUUGAGACUGGAUUGCUAGAAUCUUGGAGAGGCGGGUGGAAUUCCGAGUGUAGAGGUGAAAUUCGUAGAUAUUCGGAAGAACACCAGUGGCGGAGGCGGCCCGCUGGACAAGUAUUGACGCUGAGGUGCGAAAGCGUGGGGAGCAAACAGG